GUCGAGGAUCUUUAGCAAUGGACGAAAGUCUGACUAUGCGACGCCGCGUGAGGGAUGAAGGUUUUCGGAUCGUAAACCUCUUUCGAUGGGGAAGAAAUUUCUUAUCCUAAUAUGGUAAGGAAGUGACGGUACCCAGAGAAGAAGCCACGGCCAACUCCGUGCCAGCAGCCGCGGUAAUACGGGGGUGGCGAGCGUUACUCGGAUUUAUUGGGUGUAAAGGGCAGGUAGGCGUUUCAUCAAGUUAGAAGUGAAAUCCUGUGGCUCAACCACAGAACUGCUUCUAAAACUGAUGGAAUUGAGGCUAACAGAGGAGAGCGGAAUUCCCGGUGUAAGGGUGAAAUCUGUAGAUAUCGGGAGGAACACCAGUGGCGAAAGCGGCUCUCUGGGUUAGCUCUGACGCUGAGCUGCGAAAGCUAGGGGAGCAAACAGGAUUAGAUACCCUGGUAGUCC
rnacentral:rRNA from 1 species